UUAAGUUAAUAAGGGCGCACGGUGGAUGCCUUGGCACUAGAAGCCGAUGAAGGACGUGACUAACGACGAAAUGCUUUGGGGAGCUGUAAGUGAGCAAUGAUCCAGAGAUGUCCGAAUGGGGGAACCCGGCAGGUAAUGCCUGUCACUCAUUACUGUUAAGGUAAUGUAGAGGAAGACGCAGUGAACUGAAACAUCUAAGUAGCUGCAGGAAGAGAAAGCAAAAGCGAUUGCCUUAGUAGCGGCGAGCGAAACGGCAAGAGGGCAAACCGAAGAGUUUACUCUUCGGGGUUGUAGGACUGCAACGUGGACUUAAAGAUUAUAGAAGAACUACCUGGGAAGGUAGGCCAAAGAGAGUAAUAGCCUCGUAUUCGAAAUAGUCUUUAUACCUAGCAGUAUCCUGAGUACGGCGAGACACGAGAAAUCUCGUCGGAAUCUGGGAGGACCAUCUCCCAACCCUAAAUACUCUCUAGUGACCGAUAGUGAACCAGUACCGUGAGGGAAAGGUGAAAAGCACCCCGGGAGGGGAGUGAAAUAGAACCUGAAACCGUGUGCCUACAACAAGUUCGAGCCCGUUAAUGGGUGAGAGCGUGCCUUUUGUAGAAUGAACCGGCGAGUUACGAUAUGAUGCGAGGUUAAGUUGAAGAGACGGAGCCGUAGGGAAACCGAGUCUUAAUAGGGCGCAUUAGUAUCAUGUCGUAGACCCGAAACCAUGUGACCUACCCAUGAGCAGGUUGAAGGUGAGGUAAAACUCACUGGAGGACCGAACCAGGGCACGUUGAAAAGUGCUUGGAUGACUUGUGGGUAGCGGAGAAAUUCCAAACGAACUUGGAGAUAGCUGGUUCUCUCCGAAAUAGCUUUAGGGCUAGCGUCGAUGUUAAGUCUCUUGGAGGUAGAGCACUGUUUGGGUGAGGGGUCCAUCCCGGAUUACCAAUCUCAGAUAAACUCCGAAUGCCAACGAGAUAUAAUCGGCAGUCAGACUGCGAGUGCUAAGAUCCGUAGUCGAAAGGGAAACAGCCCAGACCACCAGCUAAGGUCCCAAAAUAUAUGUUAAGUGGAAAAGGAUGUGGGGUUGCACAGACAACUAGGAUGUUAGCUUAGAAGCAGCUAUUCAUUCAAAGAGUGCGUAAUAGCUCACUAGUCGAGUGACCCUGCGCCGAAAAUGUACCGGGGCUAAAACAUAUUACCGAAGCUGUGGAUACCUUUAUAGGUAUGGUAGGAGAGCGUUCUAUGUGCGAAGAAGGUGUACCGUGAGGAGUGCUGGAGCGCAUAGAAGUGAGAAUGCCGGUAUGAGUAGCGAAAGACAGGUGAGAAUCCUGUCCACCGUAAGACUAAGGUUUCCAGGGGAAGGCUCGUCCGCCCUGGGUUAGUCGGGACCUAAGGAGAGACCGAAAGGUGUAUCCGAUGGACAACAGGUUGAUAUUCCUGUACUAGAGUAUAUAGUGAUGGAGGGACGCAGUAGGCUAACUAAACCAGACGAUUGGAAGUGUCUGGCCAAGCAGUGAGGUGUGAUAUGAGUCAAAUGCUUAUAUCUAUAACAUUGAGCUGUGAUGGGGAGCGAAGUUUAGUAGCGAAGUUAGUGAUGUCACACUGCCGAGAAAAGCUUCUAGCGUUAAUUAUACUCUACCCGUACCGCAAACCGACACAGGUAGUCGAGGCGAGUAGCCUCAGGUGAGCGAGAGAACUCUCGUUAAGGAACUCGGCAAAAUGGCCCCGUAACUUCGGGAGAAGGGGCGCUGACUUAUGGUCAGCCGCAGUGAAUAGGCCCAAGCAACUGUUUAUCAAAAACACAGCUCUCUGCUAAAUCGUAAGAUGAUGUAUAGGGGGUGACGCCUGCCCGGUGCUGGAAGGUUAAGAGGAGUGCUUAGCGUAAGCGAAGGCAUGAAUUGAAGCCCCAGUAAACGGCGGCCGUAACUAUAACGGUCCUAAGGUAGCGAAAUUCCUUGUCGGGUAAGUUCC
rnacentral:rRNA from 1 species